ACGGGGCCCGCACAAGCGGUGGAGUAUGCGGUUUAAUUCGACGCAACGCGCAGAACCUUACCUAGACUUGACAUCCCGGGAUUUUCUGGAAACAGAGAAGUGCUUUAGCAAUAAAGAACCCGGUGACAGGUGCUGCAUGGCUGUCGUCAGCUCGUGUCGUGAGAUGUUGGGUUAAGUCCCGCAACGAGCGCAACCCUCGCCUUUAGUUGCCAGCAUUCAGUUGGGCACUCUAGCGAGACUGCCGGUAAUAAACCGGAGGAAGGUGGGAUGACGUCAAAUCAUCAUGCCCCUUAUGACCUGGGCUACACACGUGCUACAAUGGUUGGUACAACGAGUUGCGAGUCGGUGACGGCGAGCUAAUCUCUUAAAGCCAAUCUCAGUUCGGAUUGUAGGCUGCAACUCGCCUACAUGAAGUCGGAAUCGCUAGUAAUCGCGGAUCAGCUACGCCGCGGUGAAUACGUUCUCGGGCCUU
rnacentral:rRNA from 1 species